UUUCCGUAGGUGAACCUGCGGAAGGAUCAUUCAUAAUAAAGUGUUUUAUGGCACUUUUUAAAAAUCCAUAUCCACCUUGUGUGCAAUGUUAGAUCUCGUCAAUCUUGGCGAGAUUUUUAUACAUCAACUCAGUCUUUAACUAAUUUGUCUGAAAAAUAUUAUGAAUACUUAAUUCAAAAUACAACUUUCAACAACGGAUCUCUUGGCUCUC
rnacentral:misc_RNA from 1 species